rnacentral:rRNA from 1 species
AGCACGAAGGUUAGCUAAUCCUGGUCGGACAUCAGGAGGUUAGUGCAAUGGCAUAAGCUAGCUUGACUGCGAGCGUGACGGCGCGAGCAGGUGCGAAAGCAGGUCAUAGUGAUCCGGUGGUUCUGAAUGGAAGGGCCAUCGCUCAACGGAUAAAAGGUACUCCGGGGAUAACAGGCUGAUACCGCCCAAGAGUUCAUAUCGACGGCGGUGUUUGGCACCUCGAUGUCGGCUCAUCACAUCCUGGGGCUGAAGUAGGUCCCAAGGGUAUGGCUGUUCGCCAUUUAAAGUGGUACGCGAGCUGGGUUUAGAACGUCGUGAGACAGUUCGGUCCCUAUCUGCCGUGGGCGCUGGAGAAUUGAGGGGGGCUGCUCCUAGUACGAGAGGACCGGAGUGGACGCAUCACUGGUGUUCGGGUUGUCAUGCCAAUGGCACUGCCCGGUAGCUAAAUGCGGAAGAGAUAAGUGCUGAAAGCAUCUAAGCACGAAACUUGCCCCGAGAUGAGUUCUCCCUGAGACUUUAAGUCUCCUGAAGGAACGUUAAAGACGAUGACGUUGAUAGGCCGGGUGUGUAAGCGCAGCGAUGCGUUGAGCUAACCGGUACUAAUGAACCGUGAGGCUUAACCUU